rnacentral:lncRNA from 1 species
UCUCUCCAAGGCUCCGCCUCUCUUUCUCCCUCGAAUCUCCUCCGGCGGACGACGGCAACCAUCGCCGAUCACGCCGCCGCCCCUUGACUCUCCUCUCCCUCAACUCUCUCAACUGCCGGCACAAGGCGCAGCGAGGCGCAACUGCCGCGGAGCGCCGCCGUCUCCGGCGUCCUCGCAGCAGAUCCGCCGCCUUCUUCCCCGGUGAUAGCAGCCGCCGCCUGGCCUCCCUCGUUCUCAGUCAGACGGUAGCAUCAAGGCCACCGCCGACCGAAGACCCUCCCCUUUUUUUUUCGCUUGACUCCGGC